CACGUAGGGCGCAAGCGUUGUCCGGAAUUAUUGGGCGUAAAGAGCUCGUAGGUGGUUUGUUACGUCUGCUGUGAAAACCUAGGGCUUAACCCUGGGCUUGCAGUGGAUACGGGCAGACUAGAGGUAGGUAGGGGAGAAUGGAAUUCCCGGUGUAGUGGUGAAAUGCGUAGAUAUCGGGAGGAACACCAGUGGCGAAGGCGACUUCCUGGCCUGUUCUUGACGCUGAGGCGCGAAAGCUAGGGGAGCAAACGGG
rnacentral:rRNA from 1 species